GUCCUACGGGACGCAGCAGUGGGGGAUAUUGCACAAUGGGGGAAACCCUGAUGCAGCGACGCCGCGUGAAGGAAGAAGGCUUUCGGGUUGUAAACUUCUUUUCAGAGGGAAGAGCAGAAGACGGUACCUCUUGAAUAAGCCACGGCUAACUACGUGCCAGCAGCCGCGGUAAUACGUAGGUGGCAAGCGUUGUCCGGAUUUACUGGGUGUAAAGGGCGUGCAGCCGGGAAGACAAGUCAGAUGUGAAAUCCCGCGGCUCAACCGCGGAACUGCAUUUGAAACUGUUUUUCUUGAGUACCGGAGAG
rnacentral:rRNA from 1 species